CGUUGUUUUAUGAGCGUAUUCUAUUCGGCUGUGAAUUCAUUUUCUGGUGUAUGGUCACACUGGGUCCAAGUUUACUGCUGUUAUGUCUAAAGAAGUACUCAUUUUGCCGCAUGAAAAUGGUGGCAUGCCUACAUAAACUGUUAUUUCUUUUUAUGAUUUUAUUAAUGUCGAUGUCAUUGUGCAUGAUUGGUGGCUGUAUAGCUUUAGCUGACUUUUGCCACAAUGCAACCCAUCUCGUUAUCGAAUACAAGCCUGUUAUUCAUGAUAUGCUAAAUAACAGUCUGUAUUAUUAUUACCUCGCAUGUACAAUAUAUGCUCGGGUACCACCGCCAUAUUCCAUAAAAAUCUUCGAUAACCAGAAUUAUAAAUUUUUAAUUAAUAACAUUUCAAACAUCAAAAAAACACAAGA